AAUGCAACUUGCGCCCUCUGGUAUUCCGGAGGGCAUGCCUGUUUGAGUGUCGUGAACACCUCAACCCUCCAAUGUUUUCGCAUUGAAGGUGUUGGUAGUGAGCGCUGCCGGACUUUUGGUCGGCUCGCUUUAAAAUCAUUAGCUGGAUCCAUUCUGACCUGGUUCUACUCGGCGUAAUAAGUUAUUAUCGUCGAGGACGCUUGUCUUUCUAGGCAGGCGGCCACAGUAAGGGUGUCUGAACCGCUUCCAACACGUCUUGCUCUUGUAGCAAACACUUGAACCUCUGACCUCAAAUCAGGCAGGACUACCCGCUGAACUUAA
rnacentral:misc_RNA from 1 species